GAUGAAGAACGUAGCGAAAUGCGAUACUUGGUGUGAAUUGCAGAAUUCAGUGAAUCAUCGAAUCUUUGAACGCACAUUGCGCCCGCCAGUAUUCUGGCGGGCAUGCCUGUCUGAGCGUCAUUUCAACCCUCAAGCAACUUCUGCUUGGUGUUGGGGAUCGGCCGUCAAACGCCGCCCCCGAAAUCUAUUGGCGAUCUCGCUGUAGCUUCCUAUGCGUAGUAGUAACAUCUCGCAUCUGGAGAGCGGCGCGGUCAUGCCGUAAAACACCCAACUUCUCAGGUUGACCUCAGAUCAGGUAGGAAUACCCGCUGAACUUAAGCAUAUCAAUAAGCGGAGGA
rnacentral:misc_RNA from 1 species